UAGUCGUUAAAUAAAUCAAAAUUGAUUGAUAAACUAAUUAUGUUACUAAAGAGAUCCAUAUAUGCAUUUAAUUUCAAUUACUUUCUAAUUUUGUACAGUAUGAGAAAGUUGGACACUUAACAUUAUGUCAAUUUGUGCAUGGAAUCAUAUGUGCUCUUCCACCUGCUCCGCCUCCACCGCGCAUUACACUAAACUUCUCUCGGUCUUCGGCUCCUAUAUAUAUAUAUAUAUAUAUCCUCGCCACGGAAAAUUCAACCCACAACUCCUCGGCCCCGCUCGCCACUCCAAAAAUAUCUCUUUCUUUUUCUUUCUUUUCAGUUUUCACGCGCACAGACACACUGUUUUCUCAGACUAUCCGUUAUCUUUGAAAUCUCUCUUUCUUUUUCUUUCUUUAUUGAAUUGGGUGAAAGUGAUUGAUUGAAUUGGAUGUCCUCGGCGGCUCCCUUUCGGGCCGGGGCGUCCCCAAGAAGACGACUGUUACGAUCUUCUUGAUACUGAAAGAUGAAGCCACAAGAGUACAGUAUGAUUAUGCAAUUGCCCACCCAGAGGAGGUAUUCUACUAUACAGCACAAUACUACCGUGCUUACUAUGGUCACAAAACUGAUCCUUGUGCUGUCCUUAUUGGUCUUCUAGCUGGGGAAAAUUGGCGAGCACACUUGUGAAGCUGAUUUAAUAGGUGGAUGAUUUAGAAGAAGUGAGUGAAUUCUAUCAAAACAGAGGUUGUUUCAAUGAAUUAAUUCUCUUAUGGAAAGUGGACUAGGAUUGGAGAGUGCACAUAUGGGUAUCUUUACAGAGCUUGGGGUAUUGUAUGCCAGAUACCGUCAUGAGAAGCUGAUGGAACAUAUUAAAUUGUUCUCCACCUGUCUUAACAUUCCUCUUAUCCGAGCAUGUGAUGAGCAGCAGCACUGGAGCUGUAUUACAAGGCUGUCCACUUCUAUUUGCAAGAGCAUCCUGUUCUGAUUAAUGAUCUUCUCAAUGUCCUUGCACUAAAGGUGGACCACACAUGGGUGGUGGACAUCCUGAGAAAGCAGCUCUACUUAAAGGAAAGGAUAUCAGAUUCAAGAAGAUAAUCAAGUGGAAAAUGCCCUGACUGAUAUGUACAUCAAACGUGGAUGCUUGGAAUAUGCAGAUUGUAUUUUCACUAACAUGUCUGGUAGAAGCUUGGUC